GACGAACGCUGGCGGCGUGCUUAACACAUGCAAGUCGAACGGAAAGGCCCUGCUUUUGUGGGGUGCUCGAGUGGCGAACGGGUGAGUAACACGUGAGUAACCUGCCCUUGACUUAGGGAUAACUUUAGGGAACUGGGGCUAAUACCGGAUAGGAGCUCCUGCAGCGUGGUGUGGGUUGGAAAGUUUCGGCGGUUGGGGAUGGACUCGCGGCUCAUCAGCUUGGUGGUGUGGUAGUGGCUUACCAAGGCUUUGACGGGUAGCCGGCCUGAGAGGGUGACCGGCCACAUUGGGACUGAGAUACGGCGCAGACUCAUACGGGCGGCAGCAGGGGAGAAUAUUGCACAAUGGGCGGAAGACUGAUGCAGAAACGCCGCGUGCGGGAUGACGUCCUUCGGGUUGUAAACCGCCUUCGCCGGUGACGAAGAGUGAGUGACGGUAAUGGGUAAAGAAGCACCGGCUAACUACGUG
rnacentral:rRNA from 1 species